AAACAUGCAAGUCGAGCGAAUGGAUUAAGAGCUUGCUCUUAUGAAGUUAGCGGCGGACGGGUGAGUAACACGUGGGUAACCUGCCCAUAAGACUGGGAUAACUCCGGGAAACCGGGGCUAAUACCGGAUAACAUUUUGAACCGCAUGGUUCGAAAUUGAAAGGCGGCUUCGGCUGUCACUUAUGGAUGGACCCGCGUCGCAUUAGCUAGUUGGUGAGGUAACGGCUCACCAAGGCAACGAUGCGUAGCCGACCUGAGAGGGUGAUCGGCCACACUGGGACUGAGACACGGCCCAGACUCCUACGGGAGGCAGCAGUAGGGAAUCUUCCGCAAUGGACGAAAGUCUGACGGAGCAACGCCGCGUGAGUGAUGAAGGCUUUCGGGUCGUAAAACUCUGUUGUUAGGGAAGAACAAGUGCUAGUUGAAUAAGCUGGCACCUUGACGGUACCUAACCAGAAAGCCACGGCUAACUACGUGCCAGCAGCCGCGGUAAUACGUAGGUGGCAAGCGUUAUCCGGAAUUAUUGGGCGUAAAGCGCGCGCAGGUGGUUUCUUA
rnacentral:rRNA from 1 species